GCUCCCACCUAGAUGAUGAUGGACUGAACCUCUGAACCUUCCUCACUCCCUCCCUGAGACCCUGAUGACUGACUGAGCUGGCUUGGUCAGGGGAUACAGGCCCCCAAGAGGUGCUUUGCUCAACACAUUGAAUCCUUACUUGGUCCCAUACGGAAAGAGUCCUGGAGGCUAAGACAGACCACCUCUACAUGGAAAUGAUUAUCUCUGACAAAGAGGAUGCAGCCAGAAGCAGAUCCCCUCCUGUGAUGGCACCGGCAGUUGCAGGGAUGGAAGCUGGGGCCUCGCACAUGCUCGGCAACACUCUGCUGCCACCGAACCUCAUCC